AGAGUUUGAUCAUGGCUCAGAGCGAACGCUGGCGGCAGGCCUAAUACAUGCAAGUCGAACGGCUCUUCGGAGCAGUGGCGGACGGGUGAGUAACGCGUGGGAACGUGCCCUUUGGUUCGGAACAACACAGGGAAACUUGUGCUAAUACCGAAUGUGCCCUUCGGGGGAAAGAUUUAUCGCCAUUGGAGCGGCCCGCGUUGGAUUAGCUAGUUGGUGGGGUAAAGGCCCACCAAGGCUACGAUCCAUAGCUGGUCUGAGAGGAUGAUCAGCCACACUGGGACUGAGACACGGCCCAGACUCCUACGGGAGGCAGCAGUAGGGGAUCUUGCGCAAUGGGCGAAAGCCUGACGCAGCCAUGCCGCGUGAAUGAUGAAGGUCUUAGGAUUGUAAAAUUCUUUCACCGGGGAAGAUAAUGACGGUACCCGGAGAAGAAGCCCCGGCUAACUUCGUGCCAGCAGCCGCGGUAAUACGAAGGGGGCUAGCGUUGCUCGGAAUUACUGGGCGUAAAGGGCGCGUAGGCGGACAUUUAAGUCAGAGGUGAAAGCCCAGGGCUCAACCUUGGAAUUGCCUUUGAUACUGGAUGUCUUGAGUUCGGGAGAGGUGAGUGGAAUGCCGAGUGUAGAGGUGAAAUUCGUAGAUAUUCGGCGGAACACCAGUGGCGAAGGCGACUCACUGGCCCGAUACUGACGCUGAGGCGCGAAAGCGUGGGGAGCAAACAGGAUUAGAUACCCCGGUAGUCCAA
rnacentral:rRNA from 1 species